ACCGCCGCGCUCCCAAGCGGCGCACUCUCCAGUUCGCCACCGGGCCGGCCCUGGAAGGCUACUUUUGAUUGAAUGAUCAGAGAAUGCCUCUCUGAGGAGGUGACCUUUUAGCUAAUGACUGGAUAUAGAUAGAAGGGCUAGACAUAUGAAACCAGGGAAAGCAAAUUCUAGGCAGAAGGAAAAGCCAAGGUGAAAGUUCUAAGGCUGGAUUUAUUCUAGGAAUGCAAGGUUGAUACAACAUUAGGAAAUCCAUUCAGAUCGUAUGCCAUAUUACUCUAAGGGGAAAAAUAAUCAUAGGAUUAUCUUCAUAGAUGCUGAGAAAGUCUUUGACAAAAUUCAGUACCUAUUCAUGAUAGACACUCAAGAAAAUAGAAAUUGAAGAAUACUUUUGAACCUGAUAAAAUAAAGUUCAGUGUCAAGAAGUGAACAAUACCAUAUCUUUGAAAGAUUUGCGAAUACUUUUUUUAUAUGAAUUUAAACUGGGACAUAGUGCAGCUAAGGCAAGUAGGAACAUCAAUUUGGUUUUUGGAAAAGGCUCUGUUAGUGAAAGGACUAUCCGGUGGUGGUUUGAAAAAUUUCAUUCUGGGGAUCUGAGUCUACAAAAUGAGCCUCGAGGGAGACCCAAAUCUGUUUUAAAUGAAGAUCAACUGAGAGCCAUGGUGGAAACUAACCCCCAAACAGCAAUUCGAGGCCUUGCGGCAGACUUAGGAGUUUCUGCUACAACGAUUUCCUGACACCUGGCUGCAAUAGGGAAGGUGAAAAAAUUGGACAAGUGGGUAGGUACCACUCCAAUUGAUGGAUGAUCAUAAACUGAGAUGGUUAAAAUUUGAAAGAGCAGAGACUUAUUUUGGAGAGGAUCAUAAGCUUUGAUUUUAAAAAAAAAAAGGGUACCGUAUGGUAAUUGAAAGUGAUCUAAUCAAUCGUUGGAUGUUGGUGAAGUUCUCAAAUAUUUGUUAAACCAUCCUUGCAACCAAAAAAACUUCUGGUUAACCAUAUGGUGGUCUGCAAAAAGGAUAUUUCGUUACUGUUUUUUUACCCAGGUUAAAACUAAUAGUAGCAUCUUAUUGUCAAGAAGUUAAAUUAUGCAUCAAAAAUUGAUCUAAAAAUGCAUUGGUUAGUAGACAUGGACCUUUUUCAUGACAACAUUCAACCACAGACAAUACAAACCACCAUAGCAAAGUUAACUGAAUUGGUCUAAGAAAUUUUGCUUCAUCCUUCUUACUCAUUGGACUUUUUUCAACAGUUUACCACCCUUUUCAUCAUUUGGAACUUUCUAAGAAACAGAACAUUUCCAAUUUGAGAAGCAAUAGUUGGAGGGUUUGAAUAAAUUUUAACAAUGCUGAAUUUUAUAAACAUGGUAUAUAUCAUUUAAUAUUUGAGAAAAUCUAUCAUUUGGGGAAUUCUUAUUUAGGGAAAGUGGUUAAUGCUAACAGUGCAUAUUUUGGUUGAAUAAAGUAUUUUUCUCAAAAAUAAAA